CCGGUCGGCCCCACCCCUCCUCCUCGUGCGCCCGCCCGCCCCAAACUCCGGCAAACAAAACGUACCAUUCACAACUCUGCGACCGGAGCCGCGCAUGCGCCGCCCACCCGCUUGCGGGGCGGCUGGACUGCAGCGAGCCAGAGGUGCGGCUCUCUCACCCUUGCGGGCCCGCGGUUUCCUCUGUGUAGAACUGCUCUGCGGACAUCUGCCCGGACCUUGGAGAGAGGGAGCCGCUCGCGCGGUUCCUUUCUGUCGACUGUAUGAAACUUUGGGGCUUCUCAGCUGCUUGGAGUGACCCCAGAUUGUCACCUGAACCAAACUAAACUGAACCAAAAAAACCCUAUGGGACAGGCUGCGGUAUGCCCAGGUCGAGUUGCAGGAGAGGCCAGAGUGAGGAGUCUGGAUGUAGCACCAAGACCUACACCAAUGGACAAGCGAGGAUGGAGUAUGGAUAUCCUGAGGUCCCUUCUGAGAUAAUGAAGAAAAAAGCCAGGUCCUUAAUGCUGGUAUAGUCUCAUCCAAAAGGCCAUCUUCUCCUCCUUGAGCUUCACACCCACCCUCGUGAUGAAAUCCAACUGCAGCGCUUACUGCUCCGGGACUGCAGGAUGUACCCAAGCACUUGGACAUCCCCAGAAGAGCCAAUGGGAUCUGAUCUCAUGCACAGUACUACCCAAGAGGAAUCCUCUGCUACUCCCGCUGGGGUGGGCACCCCUCCUAUUGACUUACAAAAGGUAAGAGCCAACUGAACUCCAGGUUGUUGACACCCAGAAGAUAGGGCACAGGUGCAACUUGCCCCUGGCUCAGGAGCACUGCUGGGUCAUCUGGGAACACCACACCAUCCACCACCGGGCUCAUGAACCACACAACCUACAAGGCAAGGGGCAUUUCCAAAUAGUCCUCCCACAUAUCCUCCCAGGAUCCCUGUAGCCUAGGGUUCCCAGCUCAGCAGGUCCCCAUCCAGAGAUUUCUUUAUCCAUAGGCCCUUUGGGAAAAGCUGGGCUUCAGUGACCCCUUGGAGGGCAGGAGAUGCUCACCCCCAGGUAUCUACUUUCCUCACCUCUUGACAAUCUUUGCUAAAUGUCACCUUCUGAAUGAAGCUUUCUUUGUCCCUCCUAUUUAAAAUUCUAUGCCUUACUUACCCUGCUCCAUUUGUCACUAUUCACUUUCCUUCUAAAGAGGUAAAUGAGUUAUUUAUGUAUAGUGAUUACUGCCUGUCUCCACUGGAACAUCAGUCCUACUCGGGAAGGAAUCUUGGUCUGAACAGUUCACUUAGUAUCCUGAAUGCCUGGCACAUAGGAGGAGGUGUUCAAUAAAUACUGUAUCACAGAAUAGGGCCUGCUCACCUCCUGAGGGUCUUUCUGGGAGUUCAGGUGGAAGAAUCCCUGUAGGGGAGAGGAGGAAACUAGAGUUAAAGAAAGUCUCCCCACUGUGCUCCUUAGACAGGGUCCCUGGGGGCAGCCGGGUAUCAGGUCAGGUAGGUGGCUUACAGGUGGCCAGGUGAAGGAGCUAGAAGGAAGUUUUACCUACCAUCUUCUUAGAUACAUGCAUCACCUCAGCCCCUGAUCGUGCCCUCAGGCAGUCUACCAGAAUCCGUGUGCUGUUGUAGGUACAGCCUGCCAGGCGGGCAACUGUCUGUGGAGAAGAGGUGUUCAGGCCCAUCCUGCCCCUUCUUGCUGAGUCCUGGGGGAGAGGAGACACCCACCUUGGCCACCUUCAGCGGGUCAGGAGUGAUGAAGGCUCUGAGUGCUGCGGUGCCGCUCUGGGAAAUGGCCCGAUGAAAGAGACCGCGGGCUAGGGGUGACAUCAUCUGCAGGGGUGGGGAGUGUGGUACCCAUGAGAGGCACAAGUAGAAGUCAUUUGGGCAGUUUUGGGUGCCUUUCUGGCCAGGGCUGGGCAGCGUGAAGGGGCCCAAAGAGUGCAGGCAGCUUGGGAGGGAGUCAAGAGUCCUGGGUUGGAGUCCUGGACCUACAGCCGGUGCCUUCAUGCCUGUGGGCCCCCCUAUCCUGGCCCCUGCAAUGGGCCCCAGCAGUUCCAGAGGGGAUCUGAGCUUGUGGGAAGGGUUCUGCUGGUGUAGGAAAGAGACUCUCUAUGCUUCUGGGUUAGAAAUGGGGGGGGGGGGUGUUGGUUCCUAUGGCCCCUUUAACCUGUAUUGACAGUUCUUAACUUUCUUUGCUGCCCAAGUUGGAAGAGCAACUAUAACUGGGACCCCUCAUCUUGUCUCUUGGACACUUCAGACUUCAUGUGCCCCAAACUUGUUCUAGCUGGUUCCCAUCUGAGUGGCAUCCCUCACACUACACCAUCCAUCCAGCCCCAGGGGCCUUUCCUAUCAUCUCUGCUCACCCCUCCACCCAGCUGCCCUAGUCCUGUCCAUCUGGCUUCCUGCAUCCCUCUUCAGCUACCUUCUACUUUCCAGUCUUCUUGCUUCUGUUUCAGAGGCAGGCCUCAUCCUCUCUUCUAAGAUAUACCCCACCUCCACUCCCAGAUGGCCUCCAGGCCUCUCCUCCUGCUUCUUCCUAACUCAGUUCCAGCACACUGAGCCAUCUCUCUAAAUGCACUUCUGGCUGUGUCACUUCUCUGCUUCAAAUCUUUCCCUGUUCUCCAAUGUAUUUUGAAUGAAGCUGCUUAACCUUUCUGGA